AAUGGUCGUUAUUUAUUACACGACACAAAACAGCACAGCAGAGUUAGUUCCAAAACUCGAACUCUUCGUUAAUGGAAACUCUGAACUCAUCUCUUCCCAGAACUCACUUCCUCAACGCUUCUGUACUUCAAUAUUCUACAUUCAACCGCCAACUUUACACUCUUUUUAAAAAGCCAUCUCUUCCUUUCUCCAUUUCUUGCAAGCUCAGAACUUCUCAAGAUGCGAGGAAGAAAAACGAGGAUGUAUCAAAGAAGAUUGUGUUUUUGGAUGCACAGCCUACGCAUUUGAAAAAGGAGGAAGCUUUGGGGAAGAUUGAGAGAAAGAGAGGAGUUUUUGGGUUGGUUAAGAGAUUGCCCAGAAAGGUGUUGGCUGGUUUGUCGAAUUUGCCUUUGGCCAUUGGAGAGAUGUUCUCUAUUGCUGCUCUUAUGGCUCUCGGUACUGUGAUUGAGCAAGGGGAGACACCGGAAUUCUAUUUCGAUAAGUACCCUGAAGAUAAUCCUGUGUUGGGAUUCUUCACUUGGAGAUGGGUUCUCACUUUAGGAUUUGAUCACAUGUUCUCAUCACCCAUUUUCCUAGGACUGUUGGUUCUCCUGGGAUUAUCACUCAUGUCCUGCACUUACACAACACAAAUUCCCUUGGUUAAGGUUGCAAGAAGAUGGAACUUUUUACAAUCAGCUGAGGCUAUCCGGAAACAGGAAUUUUCGGACUCUCUGCCAAGAGCAUCUAUUCAAGAUUUGGGUGUUAUUCUUAUGGGAGCUGGAUACGAGGUAUUCUUGAAAGGACCAUCUUUAUAUGCCUUCAAAGGGCUGGUUGGUCGAUUUGCCCCUAUUGGAGUGCACUUAGCGAUGCUGCUGAUAAUGGUGGGUGGAACUCUUAGUGCAACUGGAAGCUUCAGAGGUUCAGUAAUGGUUCCACAGGGGCUUAAUUUUGUUAUGGGUGACGUCUUAGGCCCAAUUGGUUUCCUAUCUACUCCAACUGAUGCUUUCAACACUGAGGUUCAUCUCAACAGAUUCUACAUGGACUACUAUGACAGUGGUGAGGUAAAGCAGUUCCACUCUGAUCUUUCUCUAUAUGACCUUAAUGGGAAGGAGGUAUUGAGGAAAAUAAUUAGUGUAAACGACCCUUUGAGAUAUGGUGGGAUCACUAUGUACCAGACAGAUUGGAGUUUUUCAGCACUGCAGAUACUUAAGAAUGAUGAAGGACCUUUCAAUCUGGCUAUGGCACCUCUAACGGUCAAUGGAGACAAGAAGCUUUACGGGACCUUCUUACCUAUUGGAGAUGUCAAUUCUCCGAAUGUCAAGGGAAUUUCGAUGCUUGCUCGAGAUCUGCAAUCAAUUGUCAUAUAUGAUCAAGAAGGGAAAUUUGUUGGAGUCCGACGACCUAACUCUAAGCUUCCAAUUGAGGUUGAUGGCACAAAAAUUGUCAUUGUUGAUGCGAUAGGGAGUACUGGUCUUGACCUGAAGACUGACCCAGGAGUGCCAAUUGUGUAUGCUGGUUUUGGUGCUCUGAUGCUCACAACUUGCAUCAGUUACUUGUCUCAUUCACAGAUAUGGGCUUUACAAGAUGGAACUACCGUGAUCAUUGGAGGAAAGACUAAUAGAGCCAAGGGAGAUUUUCCAGAUGAAAUGAAUCGCUUACUUGAUCGAGUUCCGGAAAUAGUUGAAUCAUCUCUUCCCAAGAAAUCUGAUGGCAUUAGUGGCUAGUUGGAGAGGCAUGUGAUGUAUGGAUGGAGCACUGAAAUUGGACUAUUAACUGCUACAUGAAAUUUUUAGGUGUGUUUAUUAGUUUACACUGUAAGGGAUCUUUGAAAGAAUUGAAUCGCUUCAAACAAGCUGCUCUCUGCAUCACUUCGAUAUGUCUGACUCUUUUGUGGGUUCCUGUGUACAAGUAUGAAAAAUAUCUGGCUGAGUUGUGUGCUUUCUCAAAGGGAAGGGGCUAUAUUUCAAGUUUCAUGUUAAAGCAUUUCUAUUUAUAAGUCCAGGAAAGGCUAUAAAUUAAUUGAAUCAAAAAAUAUUUGGUUGUAAGAUUUCAAUCGCAUUUAAGUUAUUUAAAGAAUCCAAAUGGGAUUUGAUUACGAGACAAGUUGGGAAAUCUCAUUGAAGUCUGUAGAUCCCUUCAAUCAUAUAGUAGACCGUUGGUGGCAGCAAGUAUUUGGAUAAGAGACAAUGGGAGAAAAUUAGAGUACUGAGGGAGAAAAUUCAGAGAGUAUCAGUCUACCUAUGUAUUUGAAACAAUUUUUCCAACAAUACUUGGUUACAGAAUAUAAUAAGUGUUAUAUAAAACCUUUUGUAGUCUUUAACAGACAUUCAAGGGAAGUUUGUUGGGAACACUACAUCAGUGAACAUACACUUAGUAAUUUUCUUGUCAGCUGACUUCCUUUGC